ensembl:lncRNA
UUAUGUUCUUACUCCUCAUUGAAUCCACUAUGUCUUGGAGAUUUUCCUCCUUUUUUUAAAUUCUUAGUUCUCUUUCUUCCUCUCUCUGGAGCCAUUCAGCCUGUCUAUCUUCAAUUAUGUUAAUUUGCUCUUCUAUGGUGUCUACACGGGCAUUCAGGGAAUCCAUAUUCUGUUUUAUCUGGUCCAUUGUGUUUUUCAUCUCUAGUAAUUCUGUUUGAUUCUUCUUUAUGAUUUCAAUCUCUUUUGUGAAGUAACUCCAGAACUUGGCUUGUUUCUCUAUCUUUCUCUCUACCUCAUUGAGUUUUUUGAUUAUAGCUGCUCUGAACUCAUUAUCACUUAGUUUACCUAAUUCCAAGUCCUCAGGACUUAAUUCUAUGUUUUUAUUCUUUUCCUUCUGGUCUGGGGCUUUUAUAAAUUGCUGGAUGGUAGAGGAGUGGUUUUUUCACAUGGUGGUAGAAUUCGGUUGCAGUUACAGCCUGUGGCCACUAGAUGGGUGUCUAGAGCCACGUGUUAUGAGCUCUCCGCCUUUGGGCAAGAUGGCUGCGCCCAGUGGCUUUGCCUGGGAGGGAGGGGCUGCUAUUCUCACGUGCCGAUCUGGAUUCAGAUCAGUUCUGUUCUCUGGUCUCCCGUGGCCCUGGGUUUAUGGGGUCCCCGCUGACAAAAGCUUUCCCCCCAUCAGCAAGUUUCCAGUGAACCAGCAGCAGGAGUCCUGGAUGAUCCCUGGUCACGCAGCCCCUCCCCGGCUCCUUCCCAACCCGCGCAGCAGCGAUCGCAGACUCUAGGGGAGGGAGUGAUGUUCUCUCCUACUGUUCCAGCGCCUCCAGGGCCGACUCAGUGGCCAUUGAGGAUUUGCUUGUGAACUUCACCCUGGAGGAGUGGGCUUUCCUCGAUUCUCCACAGAAGAAACUUCAUGGAGGUAUUAUGCAGGAAACUGUCAUGACCUGGCCUCAAUGGGUAACAAUGACAAUUUGCAUUCACUGUUUCAAUUAGAAAACAAGUGUUUCUAGUUCAUCAAUGUUGUUCCAAGACAUGGAAUGUGGAAAGGGAGGAUGUUGGAUAAACGGGGCAUGGUCACAGCUCAUCAUGAACCUAGAAUCUAAUAACUUUUCUAUAAUUUCUAAUACUUUGGAAUCAUUAUUCUGGGUCUGAAUUUUAGGAAAAAAUGGGAAGAUCAUGAUGUUGAAGAUCGGUACAGAAAUCAGGGUAGAAACCUAAGGCACAUCAGGUGUCACACUGGACACAAGCCAUGUGAGUUUCAAAAAUAUCGAGAGAAGACACAUUAAGUGUAAGCUAUGGACUCUGGGAAAGGCUUCACUUGUUCCAGUUCCCUUCAAAUACAUGGAAGAGCCCACUCUGCAGAGAAACUCUAUCAAUGGAAACGUGGAAAAGUCAUCAGAUACUAUUUUAAAAAGCAUGAAAGAACUCAUACAGGAGAGAAAUUUUAUGAAUUGUAAAAAGUGCUACAAAGCCUUCAGUAUUCCCAGUUCUCUCUGAAACCUUGAAAGAACUCCUACUGGGGAGAAACCCCAUGAAUGUAAAGAAUGUGGGAGAGCCUUUUGUCAUCCAUCAGGUAUUUGAUCAUACAUGAAAACGCAUACUGGAAAUACACCUUAUAAACGUAAAGAAUAUGGAAAGCUUUCAUUUAUCCCAGUUUACUUGAAAUACAUGAAAGAAUUCAGACUGGAAGCCCUAUGAGUGUAAAAUAUGUGGGAAAGCCUUCAUUUGUUCCAGUUAUUUUCAAGUACGUGAAAGAAGUAAUACUGGAGAGAAACCUUGUGAAUGUGAGGCAUGAGGGAAAUCCUUCAUUUGUCACACAUACUUUUGAAGACACGUGAGUGUGCACACUGGAAGAAAACCAUAUAAAUGUGAAGAAAUGUGGGAAAACCUUCUGUCAUCUGAGUUCUUUCUGAAGGCAUGAAAGGACUCACUGGAUAAAACCUCUUGAAUGUAAACAAUGUAGGAAAGACUUCUAUUGGCCCACAUACUGAACUAUGAAAAAUCCUACCUAUGAGAAAUAUCAAUGUUAGUGAUUGGGAAAGCUUGGUGGGAAUAAAUGCAUGAAUAAUAUUCUGGCAAAAUUUUCAACAUGAAAGAGUUGUUAUGAAAGUUGUAAAUAUAUUGGUUUAUGAAGCUUCUUUCUUAAAGUACAUCUUUGGACUAUGGAUUUCUACAAGUUACAUUCAGAAAUGAAUAUUGAGGUGAGAAAAUUCUUCAAGUCAUCUUUCAACAAUGGAAGAUAAGAUUAAUGGGUAGUGAUUUUUCCUUAAAUCAAUCAUAUUUUCUCUGUCCAUUUUUAAGCCUGUUGGAUUCAUGGGUGAAUUGAAAUGGAUUUCUAAUGUGCAGUUAGAUUUAAUAUUUUUACAGUGUUUCAUUUGUUCUGUGUUAAGGGGCUACUGAAAAAUGACAAUUCGGUAUAUGUUAGGAUUUUCCUACUGGCCAUGUGAGAAUUCCUGGAUAUCCCUACUCCAUUGUGUAUCUUCUGCCUUUUCUUACUGAGAAACUCCUUGUUUGGGGUCAUAGAUCUUUUUUCCAUUUUCCAUGGCAUUAAACAGUUGAAAUACAUUUUUCUCUAUGGUGUGUUUAUCAAAGAGUAUCAUUUCAUGUGACUUGUUAUUUUCAUAUUUGGCCCUUUCCUCACUGUCCUUCCUUCUGACUGAAACUUGGUGACUAGGCCUUGAAUUAAGAAGAGAGCCAUGAGAUAGGACAAAAAAAUAAGGAGUUGGAGAUGUCCUCCCUGUGAGCAAUAUUUGAAACUAGAUUCUCCAUUAUCCAUCCCUUUUAUGGUUUCAUAUUGGAAUUCACCAAUAGCCUCACUUGCAUGACCUUUUGAAGUCAUAAGCAAAGAAGGGAUUAGGUUUUGGGACCACCAUAGAGGGAGAAGACAAAUACAUAGGAUCUUGGAGGAAAUCAUGUUCCACCUAUUUUACAAAUUCCUUGCUCUUCCAGUCAAGACUAUCUUCAAAACAACCACCAAGUCUGAUUUCCAUUUUCUUAGAGGUGUAGGUUUCCAACGAUGUCUUAUAAGUUCUACAUCAAAGAUACAUGAGACUCGGAUUUUUCAGUUAGCCUUCUUGUGUUCACCAGGAAAGCAAUUCAGACUUUCAUGAUUGGGCGUAUUCUGAUUCCCCUCUUCUCUAGAUUAUAUCUGUAUAAGGCUUAAUUUGUACACGAAACACCUUAUGCUGUUAAUAGUGCUGGUGACUAUAUUUUCCUUAUUCCCGAUGACAGCCACAAUAGUGCUAUCAAAAAAAAAAACAACAUUGGACUUUGUUUCUCUUCUGCAUUGUGCCUCGACCUAAUCCUUCCAUGUAAGAAUAAUCUCCUUCCUCACGUCAGGAAGACUGUGUUUCCUGUUACUUGUAGCUGAAUGUAAUGCCUCAAUAUGUUUUCAAUUAUUUUUGAUUAUAUGUGAUUAAAAGUAUGUUCAUUUUUUUGUGAAACAAACAUUUCUGUAGUUCUUUCAUAGAAAUAUUUUAUCAACUGUUUUAUAAGCCCUCCUGCUAACGAUUUUUUUUAGUUUCUUCAGAGAAUACAGUAAAAUAUCUCAUUCUAAUUGUAGAUUUUCAGAUAAACUGCAGUUUCA